GACGAACGCUGGCGGCGUGCUUAACACAUGCAAGUCGAACGGAAAGGCCCUGCUUGCAGGGUACUCGAGUGGCGAACGGGUGAGUAACACGUGGGUGAUCUGCCCUGCACUUCGGGAUAAGCCUGGGAAACUGGGUCUAAUACCGGAUAGGAGCCAUUUUUAGUGUGAUGGUUGGAAAGUUUUUUCGGUGUAGGAUGAGCUCGCGGCCUAUCAGCUUGUUGGUGGGGUAAUGGCCUACCAAGGCGGCGACGGGUAGCCGGCCUGAGAGGGUGGACGGCCACAUUGGGACUGUGAAACGGCCCAGACGCCUACAGGAGGCAGCAGUGGGGAAUAUUGCACAAUGGGCGCGAGCAUGAUGCAGCGACGCCGCGUGGUGGAUGACGGACUUCGGGUUGUAAUAUCCGUUCGCUAGAGACGAAGCUUUUUGUGACGGUACCUAGAGAAGAAGCACCGGCUAACUACGUG
rnacentral:rRNA from 1 species